rnacentral:rRNA from 1 species
UACGUAGGGUGCAAGCGUUAAUCGGAAUUACUGGGCGUAAAGCGCACGUAGGCGGUUCGUUAAGUCGGAUGUGAAAGCCCUCGGCUCAACUGAGGAAGUGCACCCGAAACUGGCGAGCUUGAGUACGAAAGAGGAUCGCGGAAUUCCCGGUGUAGAGGUGAAAUUCGUAGAUAUCGGGAGGAACACCGGUGGCGAAGGCGGCGAUCUGGGUCGAUACUGACGCUGAGGUGCGAAAGCGUGGGGAGCAAACAGG